CAGCAGCCGCGGGAAUACGGAGGGUGCUAGCGUUGUUCGGAAUCACUGGGCGUAAAGGGCGCGUAGGCGGCCUGUUAAGUCGGAUGUGAAAGCCCGGGGCUCAACCCCGGAACUGCAUCCGAGACUGGCAGGCUUGAGACCGGGAGAGGAGGGUGGAAUAUCCAGUGUAGAGGUGAAAUUCGUAGAUAUUGGAUGGAACACCGGUGGCGAAAGCGGCUCUCUGGCCCGGAUCUGACGCUGAGGCGCGAAAGCGUGGGGAGCAAACAGGAUUAGAUACCCGAGUAGUCCCUGUCUCUUAUAC
rnacentral:rRNA from 1 species